ACACAUGCAAGUCGAACGAUGAAUCCCAGUCUUGCUGGGGUGGAUUAGUGGCGAACGGGUGAGUAACACGUGAGUAACCUGCCCUUGACUCUAGGAUAAGCCUGGGAAACUGGGUCUAAUACGGGAAAUGACUUCUCACCGCAGGGUGGGGGUGGAAAGAUUUAUUGGUCUUGGAGGGACUCGCGGCCUAUCAGCUUGUUGGUGAGGUAAUGGCUCACCAAGGCGACAACCGGUAGCCCGCCUGAGAGGGUGACCCGCCACCCUGGGACUGAAACACGGCCCAUACCCCUACGGGAGGCAGCCUUGGGGAAUAUUGCACAAUGGGCGCAAGCCUGAUGCAGCGACUCCACGUGAGGGAUGACGGCCUUCGGGUUGUAAACCUCUAUCAGAAGGGAAGAAGCAAAUGUGACCGUCCCUGCAGAAGAUACGCCCGCUAACUACGUGCCAGC
rnacentral:rRNA from 1 species